AACGCACAUGGCGCCUUCCAGUAUCCUGGGAGGCAUGCCUGUCCGAGCGUCGUUUCAACCCUCGAGCCCCAGUGGCCCGGUGUUGGGGAUCUGCCACGGCAGGCCCCUAAAUCCAGUGGCGGACCCGUCGGGCCCUCUCCUUUACGUAGUAGCAUCAGCCUCGUAUCGGGAGCCUGCGGCGUCCUCGCCUCUAAACCCCCCAACAAGCCCGCCUCGGCGGCACCAAGGUUGACCUCGGAUCAGGUAGGAAUACCCGCUGAACUUAA
rnacentral:misc_RNA from 1 species